AUAUAUCUUUCCAUCUAUCUAGGUUGUAUGUCUGCCCCCGAAUUUUGAAGACCUUGAUCUAAGUGUAGAUCAGGCCGUGAGUGAAGUUGUCAGCGUAGUCCAACAGGACCCUCAGAGCAAUAAUAUUCAUAUAGCUCACAAUAAUCCUAAAGACAGUGAUAUAACUGUUGAACA